UCUGCAGAACUACCGAAUACGGAUGUAAUAUUUAUGUAAGAGCAAUGGCUGAGAAAAUACCACUUGCACGUCUACUUGUAACGGCUCGUCCAGAGAAAAGGGGAAGAAAGAGAAGCCGGAGGAGGAAAGGACUGCUAAUAAAAAGGCUCUGGAUAAAGCAAGAGGUCAAACAAGAAUCAACAUCGGAGUAGCAUUUGAGCGGUGGAGACAACUGAGGGAUCUGAAGGGCCUGAACAGUGAUGCCGAGGUUGCUCUCUUUCUGUUGGACAGCCAUGAGAAGGACAGAUCAACCUCGACGCCGUCUAAACACGGAUUGAUGAGACCCCCUCUCCCUCCAGUUCAACUAUUGUUUCUGAGUCUCUGUCCGACCGAGAUGACGUGAUGAGAUGAUGUUAAUUCUUCAACUGGUUUGAGCAGACAUCUGUCCCUCCCCCAGCCCAGCCAUUACUGCAGCUACCCCCCUCGUUGACAUCUCUAGUAUGCUACCCCCACUAAGCUCAAAAGCAUACAGCUUUUGCAGACCCAACUCAGCAGAGGCCUAGGUAAAUCACUGCCAAAGGAGUAGAUCACCACCGCUGACAAAUACUCCCUACACACAGCCUGACCUGUCUGCCUUACCUGGAAACACCUUUUCCAAUGUGUAGAUACACUCAUGUUGAAAAUG